rnacentral:rRNA from 1 species
UACAGAGGUCUCAAGCGUUUGUUCGGAUUCAUUGGGCGUAAAGGGUGCGUAGGUGGCGCUGUAAGUCGGGUGUGAAAUUUCGGAGCUUAACUCCGAAACUGCAUUCGAUACUGCGGUGCUUGAGGACUGGAGAGGAGACUGGAAUUCAUGGUGUAGCAGUGAAAUGCGUAGAGAUCAUGAGGAAGACCGUGGCGAAGGCGGGUCUCUGGACAGUUCCUGACGCUGGAGACGCGAAAGCCGUGGGGAGCGAACAGG